UGUAUGUAUGAUAUCCUGGCCCAAAAGUCUGGGCUUGGAGUAAUGCGCCGCCAAUGCCAAUGCCAAUUGGCUCGCUGUUGUCGCCUGUCGAGUCAAUCGACAGUCGUCGCUAGUCGCUCGACAGCAGUCCAAGUCCAAAGACGUUGCCGUCGCAGAUGCUCGCCGCGCAGUUAGUUCAAUUGCUUCUUUUUUUUUUGUUACUGUUUAGCAGCCGCGCGAAGUAACGGCGACGCAUUAAAAUUAAACCGCAGGUAGAGACACAUCUCCGGCCGGGCACCUGAUGCAGCUAAUGCUCUCAAUACAUAGUUCACAAUGAGCUAAUGUAACAGGAGCAACAGCAGAAACAACAACAAGGCUAUUUGUACACUUGCAGAAAACAGUGCGACAAAGCAACAACAACAACAAUUACCUCCGCAUCGCAACGGCUGUACAAAUAUUAACAAAACAAAAAAACAUUAUACAUAUAAAAAAG